GGGGUGAGGACAGUGUCUGGUGGGUAGUUUGACUGGGGCGGUCUCCUCCCAAAGAGUAACGGAGGAGCACGAAGGUUAGCUAAUCACGGUCGGACAUCGUGAGGUUAGUGCAAAGGCAUAAGCUAGCUUGACUGCGAGAGUGACGGCUCGAGCAGGUGCGAAAGCAGGUCUUAGUGAUCCGGUGGUUCUGAAUGGAAGGGCCAUCGCUCAACGGAUAAAAGGUACUCCGGGGAUAACAGGCUGAUA
rnacentral:rRNA from 1 species